AUUGAACGCUGGCGGCAGGCUUAACACAUGCAAGUCGAGCGGAGUGAUGGUGCUUGCACUAUCACUUAGCGGCGGACGGGUGAGUAAUGCUUAGGAAUCUGCCUAUUAGUGGGGGACAACAUCUCGAAAGGGAUGCUAAUACCGCAUACGUCCUACGGGAGAAAGCAGGGGAUCACUUGUGACCUUGCGCUAAUAGAUGAGCCUAAGUCGGAUUAGCUAGUUGGUGGGGUAAAGGCCUACCAAGGCGACGAUCUGUAGCGGGUCUGAGAGGAUGAUCCGCCACACUGGGACUGAGACAGGGCCCAGACUCCGACGGGAGGCAGCAGUGGGGGAUAUUGGACAAUGGGGGGAACCCUGAUCUAGCCAUGCCGCGUGUGUGAAGAAGGCCUUAUGGUUGUAAAGCACUUUAAGCGAGGAGGAGGCUCUUUUGGUUAAUACCCAAGAUGAGUGGACGUUACUCGCAGAAUAAGCACCGGCUAACUCUGUGCCAGCCGCCGCGGUAA
rnacentral:rRNA from 1 species